UACGUAGGGGGAGAGCGUUGUCCGGAGUUACUGGGCGUAAAGGGCACGCAGGCGGUCGCUUACGUUUGGGGUUACAGCUCCCGGCUUAACCGGGAGAGCGCCUUGAACACGGGGCGACUUGAGGGCCAGAGAGGGACACAGAAUUCCGGGUGUAGUGGUGAAAUGCGUAGAUAUCCGGAGGAAUACCAAAGGCGAAGGCAGUGUCCUGGAGGGUUUCUGACGCUGAGGUGCGAAAGCUAGGGGAGCGAACGG
rnacentral:rRNA from 1 species